GGGCCCGUAGCUCAACAGGUUAGAGCAGUGGACUCAUAGAUCCACGUGUCGAAGGUUCGAAUCCUUCCGGGCCUG
rnacentral:tRNA from 1 species